rnacentral:rRNA from 1 species
GAUGAACGCUGGCGGCGUGCCUAAUACAUGCAAGUCGAGCGAACAGACGAGGAGCUUGCUCCUCUGACGUUAGCGGCGGACGGGGGAGGAACACGUGGAUAACCUACCUAUAAGACUGGGAUAACUUCGUGAAACCGGAGCUAAUACCGGAUAAUAUAUUGAACCGCAUGGUUCAAUAGUGAAAGACGGUUUUGCUGUCACUUAUAGAUGGAUCCGCGCCGCAUUAGCUAGUUGGUAAGGUAACGGCUUACCAAGGCAACGAUGCGUAGCCGACCUGAGAGGGUGAUCGGCCACACUGGAACUGAGACACGGUCCAGACUCCUACGGGAGGCAGCAGUAGGGAAUCUUCCGCAAUGGGCGAAAGCCUGACGUAGCAACGCCGCGUGAGUGAUGAAGGUCUUCGGCUCGUAAAACUCUGUUAUUAGGGAAGAACAAAUGUGUAAGUAACUAUGAACGUCUUGACGGUACCUAAUCAGAAAGCCACGGCUAACUACGUG